rnacentral:rRNA from 1 species
UACGUAGGCAGCGAGCGUUGUUCGGAGUUACUGGGCGUAAAGGGUGUGUAGGCGGUUCUUUAAGUUUGGUGUGAAAUCUCCCAGCUCAACCGGGAGGGUGCGCCGAAUACUGAGGGACUCGAGUGCGGGAGAGGAAAGUGGAAUUCCUGGUGUAGCGGUGAAAUGCGUAGAUAUCAGGAGGAACACCGGUGGUGUAGACGGCUUUCUGGACCGUAACUGACGCUGAGACACGAAAGCGUGGGUAGCAAACAGG